rnacentral:rRNA from 1 species
GAUGAACGCUGGCGGCGUGCCUAAUACAUGCAAGUCGAGCGAACGGACGAGAAGCUUGCUUCUCUGAUGUUAGCGGCGGACGGGUGAGUAACACGUGGAUAACCUACCUAUAAGACUGGGAUAACUUCGGGAAACCGUAGCUAAUACCGGAUAAUAUUUUGAACCGCAUGGUUCAAAAGUGAAAGACGGUCUUGCUGUCACUUAUAGAUGGAUCCGCGCUGCAUUAGCUAGUUGGUAAGGUAACGGCUUACCAAGGCAACGAUGCAUAGCCGACCUGAGAGGGUGAUCGGCCACACGGGAACUGAGACGCGGCGCAGACCCCUACGGGAGGCAGCAGUGGGGAAUCUUCCGCAAUGGGCGAAAGCCUGACGGAGAAACGCCGCGAGAGUGAUGAGGGUCUUCGGAUCGUAAAACUCUGUUAUUAGGGAAGAACAUAUGUGUAAGUAACUGUGCACAUCUUGGCGGUACCUAAACAGAAAGCCGCGGCUAACUCCGU